GGGUCAGUAGGUUGGUCGUGCCACCGGUACGUACUGGUCUCACUGAUUCCUCCUUCCUGAAGAACCGUAAUGCCAUUAAUUUGGCGUUGCGGGGAAACAGGACUGUUACUUUGAAAAAAUUAGAGUGUUUAAAGCAAGCUAACGCUUGAAUACAUUAGCAUGGAAUAAUGGAAUAGGACGAUCGAUCCUAUUUUGUUGGUUUCUAGGAUUGACGUA
rnacentral:rRNA from 1 species